rnacentral:misc_RNA from 1 species
CGCACAUUGCGCCCUUUGGCAUUCCGAAGGGCAUGCCUGUUCGAGCGUCAUUAUCAACCGUCAAGCCUGGGCUUGCAGUUGAACUCUCCCUUUAACCGGGAGGGUUCGAAAGUCAGCGGCGGGGUGUCUGUCGGACCCUAGAUGCAACGAGCUGUUUUAUAACUAGCACGCAUUGAAGUGGCCGGCCACCUUGGCCCUCUCCUUUAACUACUCUAAGGUUGACCUCGGAUCAGGUAGGGAUACCCGCUGAACUUAA